rnacentral:rRNA from 1 species
CCUACGGGAGGCUGCAGUGGGGAAUAUUGCACAAUGGGGGGAACCCUGAUGCAGCGACGCCGCGUGGGUGAAGGAGUAUUUCGGUAUGUAAAGCCCUAUCAGCAGGGAAGAACAAUGACGGUACCUGACUAAGAAGCACCGGCUAAAUACGUGCCAGCAGCCGCGGUAAUACGUAUGGUGCAAGCGUUAUCCGGAUUUACUGGGUGUAAAGGGAGCGUAGACGGCGAAGAAAGUCUGAAGUGAAAGCCCGCGGCUCAACCGCGGAACUGCUUUGGAAACUUUUUUGCUGGAGUACCGGAGAGGGAAGCGGAAUUUCUAGUGUAGCGGUGAAAUGCGUAGAUAUUAGGAGGAACACCAGGGGCGAAGGCGGCUUACUGGACGGUAACUGACGUUGAGGCUCGAAAGCGUGGGGAGCAAACAGGAUUAGAUACCCUUGUAGUC